AGAUCCCACCAGGAGAAGAUUAAGAGCUUAUUUUGGACUGAAAAUUUAUGUCUUCCAGGAGUGAAACAGCUAAGAAGUAUGAAGGACAUCUUUUCCUCACCAUAGGCGAAGAAGAUAAAUGUCUAUGAGUUGGUGUAAACACAACUGCAAAAGCCCAGCCAAGGGCAUCAGAAAAUGGAACACAUUGAUAAUGACAUGAUGCUGUCACUGUUUGUAGAGUUGAAAAUGUCCCUUCUGAAGAGUGCACUGUGUGUUCAGGCAAGGAUGCCCAUCUCUUGACCCAGAACCCCAGCUCAGUACAGCUUGUGGUAACAACGUUCCCAUGUAUGACUGUGGAUGGUAGAAGGAGAAUUUAACCAUGCUUUUGGAAAGUGCAGGAGUUACAGUGGGAGAGGUUUCUAUAAAUACAAAUUUAAAUGAAUGGUUUACAAGAUACUAUAACUUAUGUGAAAAGGAAGGAAGGAGAAUAUACAUAUUGCACACAGACAAACAUAUGUAAGGCUACACAAGAAGCUGAGAACAGUUGCUACUCUGAGGAGAACAGGGUGGGCCAGGCACGGUGGCUUAUACCUGUAAUCCCAGCACUUUGGGAGGCCAAGGCAGGUGGAUCACCUGAGGUCAGGAGUUCGAAACCAGCCUGACCAACAUGGUGAAACCCUGUCUCUACUAAAAAUACAAAAAUUGGCUGGGCGUCGUGGCAUCCGCCUGUAAUCCCA
rnacentral:lncRNA from 1 species